UGACGCGCACAUUUCGUUCGCAAUUUCUUAACAUUAUUGAACGUUCGUGUUCCAUGCAAAUGUUCGGCUCGCAUACAUUAUACGACCUACGUAACAUCAAUUAAUGUAAACACACGUUGUGAUCAAGGGAGAUGUAACGAGUUCGUUUUAUUGAUAAUACAGUACAGGAUUGCAAUUAUCGUACAUCGAUGAAAUUGGGAAAUAUUAUUCACAUGGAGAACGCAAAGGUACUUUGGCCAUAUACUUGACCUCGGCGGCUCCGACAUGCCACACCAAUGAUAUCACGUAUUCCCAACUUAGUCACUGAAAGCCUCAAACCAGUUGUCAGUCAUGUGACACGCAUGAUGUGGAUACUGAUAAUUUGAAUUUAUUGCCCAAAGAAAUGCACUUUAAGUCUUAAAGUUCAAAAGGGUUUUAAACGAGACGUAUGCCCAUUUGAAAACGAAGAGAAGAAUAAAGAAGAAAUAAUAUUUAAAAAAAAAUUUAAAAUGGUCAUCAAAACAAAGAAUUUAUUACUGGAAAUUGGAUAUUUGUCAAGAACAAGAAACUGCAUUCUAUACACUACUUGGCAUCAGAAAAGUUCUUAAAAUACAUUUAUUUAAAAA